rnacentral:rRNA from 1 species
UACAGAGGGGGCAAGCGUUGUUCGGAACUACUGGGCGUAAAGGGCGCGUAGGCGGCCGCCUAAGUCAGACGUGAAAUCCCUCGGCUCAACCGGGGAACUGCGUCUGAUACUGGGUGGCUUGAAUCCGGGAGAGGGAUGCGGAAUUCCAGGUGUAGCGGUGAAAUGCGUAGAUAUCUGGAGGAACACCGGUGGCGAAGGCGGCAUCCUGGACCGGCAUUGACGCUGAGGCGCGAAAGCCAGGGGAGCAAACGGG